CGCGGCAGCCGACUAUCACGUGAUCUGCUCCGAUCACGUGACGGGGCCCUGGCCGGUGUCUCGGUUCCCAUGGAGACGACGCCGCCCCCGGCGGCCUGGUCUUCCCGCGAGCCGGCAUGUGCCGCGCCCUCCUCACUCCGCGGGGUAACGUCCUCUGAUGUCACCUGACCUCAUCAGUGACGUCAGACAAGGAGAGAGACAGAUGACGGUAAGAUCCCCCCAGCCCCGGGGUCACGCCCUGGGGGCUCCGAUGGGGCAGGUGUCACUCCCGGGCCGGCCCAGCACCCCAGGAACCUGCCGUCCCCUCCCCGGUACCCACGCAAGGGGAAGCCCUGGCUGCACAACGUGGUGGCUGGUCACGACCUCAGAAGAAAGGAUGAUCAAUGAUGCAGGGCAUAAGGCCGUGGUGGACAAAUCUGCCUAGCAACGUGUCUGCCUGGUUCCCCAUCUCUGUCCUUGCCGGGAUUACACGAUAAGAAUCAGAAACUGCGUGAAACACAGCCUCCCCUUUCUGCCACAGCUUUUUGAUCCUUUCGCUUAUGGGUUUGGCAACCGCAACUUUCUUCAUCCUUGAAGAUUAUUCUUCAAUUCCUCAAAGAGACUUCAAUUUUCUCACAAAUCUCUCUUCCUUUCACUUAAUUUAAACAUUUUUUGGCC